rnacentral:lncRNA from 1 species
GUGGGUGACUCUGCAAACAGGUGGGUGAGGUCUCUAGUUGAGUGAGGGGGUGUCUGUGGGUUGUGGGUUCUUCUUAUGAGCAGAGCUUGGAGGAAUUUGUUCUAUUUGUUGUGGUUUUCCCAGGGGGAAGUCGGGGGUGGCUGGGACUCUAAUGAUCAUUAUCAGAAGACUUUGGAUUAGGCCUCUGAAACUUUAAGAUGUGGAUCCUCUCGCAAUCAUGUUAAAAUGCAGAUCUCCUUUCAAUAGGUCUGGGACAGAGCCUGGCUUUUCUAUAAAGCUUCUGGUGAUGGGAUGUCGCUGGUUCUCAGCCACAAUUUGAGUAGCAAGAGCCCUGGACAACUUUCAGGAAGACAGUUCUGGUCUGUAGCAAUUAACACAUGGUCAUCCUCAGAAAAAGGAGAUACCCAUAACUUAAAAUGCAGGAACCAAGAGAUUUGAGCCUAGACAUUUGGAUGAAAAGCGAUUUCCACCUGGAGAAAGUCACUGCCCUUCUGUGCAGAGUACCAUUGUGUCUUGAAUCCAGCUUGGCCAUAAGGAAAUGGGGCGAGACUUUGUCAUGUAUGUCGCUGAAGUUCAGCUAUGCAAAAAUGUUCACCUAUCCUUGAUCAACCAGUCCAGGAACCAUCAAAGAAGAAAAUGAGAUUCGACUUAGAAGACCUGUUCUUUAUAAACCCCUGCACAGCCCUAAUGAUCAACACCACUUCCAGUGCUCAUAAAUUACUGCUUCAAUAAUUGUUCUGCAAUUCUGCCUAUUCUCAUUGAAUGCUUCGUAUAAUCCCUUUAUUUACUUUGGGCUACGAUUCAUUUUUAUCAGUCAAAUGACUACUAGACUAUCCUGGUUUCUAAUUUGAAAUGUAUCCAAAGAAGAUUCCUGUCUCACCCUCUGCAAUCCACUUGCAUGUCUGACCACACUCGGUGCCUACACAAUCUUCACUUUGUCUAGCCUAAAUUCUUCUAACUGUGGCCUAAGGCCUUGGAAGAAUGAUGCCUCUGUGGGGUAAGAACUGCCUUCGUGGCAUAAGAAAGGCAGACCUGGGUGAUCUGGAAGGGCUGUUGCAAGGGGAUAGGAGUGCUGAGGCCUUUUCCAUUAAGAAUACACAGGACUAUGGAGACUCUUGUUUUACUAGAAACUUCUUCACAGAUACCUUAAAUUAGGAAGAAAAUGCCUUUGGUUCUUGGUUCUACUAUUGGCUUCAAAUUCUUAGGCAUGCCAGACCCUACUGAACAUCUUGACACAUGUCCUUUCUUCUCUGAACUGGCGCACAGGCAUGGUGAGUAACU